AGUGAACGUUGGCGGCGUGGAUUAGGCAUGCAAGUCGAGCGAGAACCGUAGCAAUACGGGGACAGCGGCGAAAGGGACAGUAAUGUGUAGGUACCUACCUCCGGGUUCGGGAUAGCUGCGGGAAACUGCAGGUAAUACCGAAUAACGUCUGAGGACCAAAGGUGUGAUUCCACCUGGAGAGGGGCCUGCAUCCUAUUAGCUUGUUGGCGGGGUAACGGCCCACCAAGGCGACGAUGGGUAGCGGGUGUGAGAGCACGACCCGCGUCAUUGGGACUGAGACACUGCCCAGACACCUACGGGUGGCUGCAGUCGUGAAUCUUCGGCAAUGGGCGCAAGCCUGACCGAGCGACGCCGCGUGCGGGAUGAAGGCCUUCGGGUUGUAAACCGCUGUCGUAGAGGAGGAAAUGCAGGGGGGUUCUCCCCUCUGUUUGACCUAUUCUAGGAGGAAGUACGGGCUAAGUUCGUGCCAGCAGCCGCAGUAA
rnacentral:rRNA from 1 species